AACGAACGCUGGCGGCAGGCUUAACACAUGCAAGUCGAACGCAUCCUUCGGGGUGAGUGGCAGACGGGUGAGUAACGCGUGGGAACGUGCCCUUCAGUUCGGGAUAACCCAGGGAAACUUGGGCUAAUACCGGAUACGUGCGAGAGCAGAAAGAUUUAUCGCUGAAGGAUCGGCCCGCGUCUGAUUAGCUAGUUGGUGGGGUAAUGGCCCACCAAGGCGACGAUCAGUAGCUGGUCUGAGAGGAUGAUCAGCCACAUUGGGACUAGGACACGGCACAAACUCCUACGGGAGGCAGCAGUGGGGAAGAUUGGACAAUGGGCGAAAGCUAGAUCCAGCCAUGCCGCGUGAGUGAUGAAGGCCUUAGGGUUGUAAAGCUCUUUCGUCCGGGACGAUAAUGACGGUACCGGAAGAAGAAGCCCCGGCUAACUUCGUGCCAGCAGCCGCCGUAA
rnacentral:rRNA from 1 species